ensembl:lncRNA
AAAUAAGGCACUUGCCUAAAUCUCUAGAACACGUGCUACCAAUGGGGAGACAAGUGAAAAUCUCUGAGAGUGAGAUCAAGGUAAUCAUCGGUCAGAUCAACUAAACCUGUAACAUGUCUUCACCAAGCAAGCUUGCUUUAACUGUUGCUACAAAAACCUUGCAUGUUCUCCAAGCAUCAGGUAGCUUAAACAAGUUGUUUGUCAAGAACUUGGAGCCAGCUGUGUCCAGUUUAAGUUCAAGCCAGUUAACUGGCUUAGGACCACCAGCCCUCUAAUUGGGCUUGAACAAGUGUUUGCCCAUGACCUUUUGACAUCAGAGGGCCCAAAACUCCACCCUCAGAACAUGCUAAUGUCUCCAUUUCUUGAAUCUUCAGCCUAUGAAGAAGCCUAUAGCAUAGUUUUGCCUGCGAGAACAAUUAUAUCACUUUCUAAUUUCCAAUCACCUUUUCCCAUGCUUCCCACGCCUCGGCUUUAUCCCAUAAAUACCCCCAGCCCCUUAUUUCAGGGGAGGCUGGUUUGAGAGUUCUCCAUCUUUCUGUUUGGUCACCUUGUGGAUGAGCCCUUUGGUGCAAAGUUUGGCAUCUCAGCAUUUGGUUUGCUGUAUACGUCAGAAAGCAACCUGUUUAAGUAAGAAGAGGAUGUUGGGCGUGCACCCAGUCUUCUGUAGUGGAGCAGGCCAAGGAGAAGAAACUUGCAAGAAAAUUCCAUGGAUAGAAAAGCCUGGCGGGUUGCAGUCCCUGGGAUCGCAAAGAGCAGCACUCAACUGCACAUGCAGCAGACGUGUACAUGCUCACUAUAGAAAACUUAGAACAUGCAGAAAAGUGUAAAGAUGAAAAACAUCCAUGACACCCAAUACUCCAAGAAAUGAAAUUGACGUCAUCGACCAUUGCUGGACAGAAAGGAAUACAACUUGAAGAAAGCUCUUUAUAAAGAAAGGGAAGGACUGGCUUUUCAGACACCUUAUUUUUAAGUCUACUUCAGCAUAAGCAAUCCUGAUGAUUUGGGGCCUGAUUACCACAUUUUUAGCCCUGUCUCUUUCUGAUGAGAUGGGAUUUGACCAAUUCAUUUUUCAUUAACCCCUGUGCCAGAAGACUGAAAGAAGGAACAAAAGAAGAAGAAAAUCAGAGAUGCCCAAGCUUUUUUGGUUUUCUUUUUUGAUUGAUGGAUGAAUAAACUCAGAAU